rnacentral:rRNA from 1 species
UACAGAGGUCUCAAGCGCUGUUCGGAUUCAUUGGGCGUAAAGGGUGCGUAGGUGGCGCGGUAAGUCGGGUGUGAAAUCUCGGAGCUUAACUCCGAAAUUGCAUUCGAUACUGCCGUGCUCGAGGACUGGAGAGGAGACUGGAAUUCAUGGUGUAGCAGUGAAAUGCGUAGAGAUCAUGAGGAAGACCAGUGGCGAAGGCGGGUCUCUGGACAGUUCCUGACACUGAGGCACGAAGGCCAGGGGAGCAAACGGG